rnacentral:rRNA from 1 species
GAGCUUGCUCUUCUGGAUGAGUUGCGAACGGGUGAGUAACGCGUAGGUAACCUGCCUGGUAGCGGGGGAUAACUAUUGGAAACGAUAGCUAAUACCGCAUAAGAGUAGAUGUUGCAUGACAUUUGCUUAAAAGGUGCAAUUGCACCACUACCAGAUGGACCUGCGUUGUAUUAGCUAGUUGGUGGGGUAACGGCUCACCAAGGCGACGAUACAUAGCCGACCUGAGAGGGUGAUCGGCCACACUGGGACUGAGACACGGCCCAGACUCCUACGGGAGGCAGCAGUAGGGAAUCUUCGGCAAUGGACGGAAGUCUGACCGAGCAACGCCGCGUGAGUGAAGAAGGUUUUCGGAUCGUAAAGCUCUGUUGUAAGAGAAGAACGAGUGUGAGAGUGGAAAGUUCACACUGUGACGGUAUCUUACCAGAAAGGGACGGCUAACUACGUGCCAGCAGCCGCGGUAAUACGUAGGUCCCGAGCGUUGUCCGGAUUUAUUGGGCGUAAAGCGAGCGCAGGCGGUUAGAUAAGUCUGAAGUUAAAGGCUGUGGCUUAACCAUAGUACGCUUUGGAAACUGUUUAACUUGAGUGCAAGAGGGGAGAGUGGAAUUCCAUGUGUAGCGGUGAAAUGCGUAGAUAUAUGGAGGAACACCGGUGGCGAAAGCGGCUCUCUGGCUUGUAACUGACGCU